CCAUGAAGCCCUUACUUGCUGGAUUUGGUAAAGGUUUGCUAGAGUUUGGCGGGAGCUUGACUUCGGGCCUUGGGAGGUUUUCGGACGUUUCGGCAGGUUGUUCCGCAGCCGAAGGGAGUUCCGUGCUGCCAGGAAUUAGCAAUCGAGAAACACAGGGUGAUUUAUGUUAUUGCAAGAAAGGGGGGUAUUCCUCUAUCAUCGCUGAGCCGAGCGCUUAGGGCCUGCGGCUUUGGAAGCAUCAUUUGUCAUAUCAGGAUUAAUUCGUUUUUUAAAAAAGGACAAAUACAUUAUAUCUUUUGAGAAUUCUAACUUUCUUGCCCUGUAGAAAACAAAAACAGUUCUGUCGAUAUCAUUGUGCCCAGAAAAACUCCCAGUAGUCGAUCUUCUCGCCGAGAAGACGGUAACGGUGGCGCCUCUGCCAGCAUUUAGUGGCGAUUCCAAGGAAUCGUUUGCAUUGCUCUAUCGGGAGGUCCCCGACCACGCGCUUCCCGUGAGCCCUCGUCGUCUUGUACAGCACCGCAUCCUUGAUCUCGUAUAAGCACCCGCCGCGGUCGACGCGGCAAUCUGACGCGUCCGGCCACACCACAUCGAAAAUCCGUACUUUGGACGCGUAGUUGCCCUUAUAUCCGUAGUAGCACUCUAUGAAGAAGGGCCGCUUCGUCGGUGUGAAGAUCUGCUCAUCCAGGACCCCUGGCUUCAGGUAGAAGUCCUUGAAGAAGAUUGUUUCACCGAGGAUCCGGAUGCGGCACUUGAGGGCGACCUCAUCCGCCAUCCGGCUCACAAUGAUGAUGUUGUGCAGCUCGGAGAGGGCUGAAGGAAAGACGACGAGGAGGAUCGCGAGUAGGAGAAGGCCGCGGCCGUGCCCCCGCCCGGCCAUUGUUUAACUUUUGGAUCUCUGAACUACUUCUUGGUAUAUGCUAUACAAGAAAUUGGUGUCUGAUUCUGAGCCUCUAUAUAUAUGCUGAGAAAGACAAGAAAACUGCCUGACUUAUGGCUCAUUUAUAAACAGGUAACUGAAUUCGCAAAAAUUUGCAUUUCAGUACUUAACCUUUCUGAAAAUAUAAUUUUGGUA